GCUUCACUAGCUCAGUCGGUAGAGCGUCAGUCUCAUACUGCAUAGGUGUGCUAUCUGAAGGUCGAGAGUUCGAACCUCCCGUGGAGCA
rfam:Pichia pastoris GS115 chromosome 1, complete sequence